rnacentral:lncRNA from 1 species
AUUCUGGUAGUCUUUCACCAAGUGAAGCUGAGAGGCAAGCCCGUACCUUGCGAAUAUUGGAAAAUCACGGAAUAAAAAUGCUACCGAAUGACGAUUCGACAGUUGUGGCAUCUGCUGUCAAAAAUGGACAAACUGUGUGUUUAACAGAGGCUGGAAAAAUGGCACUGAAAGCUGUUGAAAUUCCGGCGCUGUCGCCUUCCUCCUUGUUCAACAAUUCUGGACGAACCCCAGAAUCUCCAGCGACCAGUCCAGAAAUAUCUCCUAAAAAAAGUCAGUCCCAGUCUAAAGAAAUAGUACACGUCAAUUCAUUACACCUAAAAAAUAAAAACCUGGAAGGAAAAAGAAUUAUAAAAAUUAGAGCUGAUCAACUCCGUGAAUUAAAGAAAAACAACAAGAUCUUACUUCGAUCUGCUCCUAAAUCACCGGGUAAAUUUUCUGAUAGUGAGGCUGAACUCAAAGAGGCAUUGAAUACUUUCAAUGUGAAUGAGGCAGAAAAUUCUUGCAGAAUCGACGAGUCAGAUUUUGAUGAAGUUGUGAAACAGCUGAGCGCAUCCCAAGCACUUGUGAAGCUCUAUCGGCAGCAAUUGAUAAGCAAAGAAAAAGAGGUGCAAAUGUACAAACAGCUUCUGCUCCAAACAAACAAUCAACUGAAAAGUUUGCAACAAAAUUUAUCUCGAUCUGUGUGAUGUAAAUACAUAAGCGCUCUCUCUCUCUCUCUCUCUCUCUCUCUCUCUCUCUCUCUCAAAGGAAAUUAAAGCAUCAAAAAGAUGUAAAUAAUUUGCCAAGGCUGUGAUAAUAAUAUAGAUAUAAUAUCUUAUAUCUAUUAAUAAGUGUGUAUUUAGGUAGUAAUCUAAGUCCUAGAAUUCCUAGAAAAUUUAAACCAUGAAAUUUUUCACAAUAUAUGCAAUCCCUUUUUAGAGGCAAAUUUAUCCCUUUUUUUCAUUUAAAAAAAAACAACUAAUUUUUAAAGUCUAAAAUUUCAAAUGACCGUCAAACAAGCUGCUCACUAAGUUAAUAUUUUCAAGUGUAAAAAACAUCAAAGUAAGCAUUUAAGCAGUGAUUUAGGAGUUGAGGUGAGUAAUACCGGAAGUAAAAAACUAAAAAGGUAUUGAUAUCAAUUAUCUUAUACAAUGCCAGAAGUAAUAUUGAUGUUGCCUUUAAGUUAUAGCUUUCCAAGUUCAAAUCAGUAGCUCGAUUGUUAAAAAUGUUGUGUCAAUUGCCUGGACAAGACAAGACUAAGGAGGAUUGGAGUUACGUUAUUCGUCGGCUUUGUCGGUUGUCCUUUUUGUUGUCCCUAUGUCAUGUGGAAUCGACAACAAGCUAAAGUCAUUUCUUGAGUUGCUGAUAGUCUGUCAUCAAUUCCAACCGAUGUAGGCAUAACCAGAAGAACAAUUGAGAAAGUCGAAAAGUUGACGAAUCAUAUGACUAAAUUCCUCCGUAGUCUUGUUUAGUCCAGUCUGCAAACAAAAAUUUCAACAAUAAGGCUUUCAGUAUGCUUUUCACAGCAUUUACAUUUGUAUACUACAGCUGAGACCUACCCUGUUCCACUGCUCAACCAACAAAGUUUCAUAAAAAAAACUUAUCAAAUUUUCCAACUUCUUUGCAAGUCAUAAAUUUGCCUCAAGUAGCAUCAGUACGGAAGCUUGUAGAAUAUGGUAAAACAUCAAAUACCUAAAACUCCUGUUUAGAUAAAUGAGACCUGAUAUGGAAUAUUAUAAAAAAAAUCAGGAAAAUUGUUGGAGAAUCUGACACUCAAUUAUAUUACUCAAAAUACAAGUAUCAAUGAAAUAGUGCACAUAACAUGGUUAGAUCAGAUAACUGUGCUUUCUUGGCACACUUUCUACACCACUGCCUAAACUAUGGUACGGUGUCCUAUGGUACACUAUUAAUACUAAAUGCUACGCUUUCUGGGUCUGCGUUUUGGCCACCAUAUCCGAAUAAUCCUAAGUUUUGUGUAACUAAUAGAACUGCAUGAUUUUUUAGUCUGUUUCAUGAUUAUAGAGAAUUUUCUUUUUAAUUUUUCUUGUUGUGGAAUGACAUCUUGAACUUACAUUUUUUAAAAAAAUUUGUUUUUUUUUUUUUCAAACUCUCUCAUUGAAAAAUCACCUAAAUUCUGUGUAGGCCUCAGGGUUUAUUCUAAUUUUAUUUCCGACUUUUAAAGUUAAAAUUAUUUUCCUUUCUGUGAAAAUGAAGAAAAUAAUUCUUUAUACUAUAGUAUUUUGUACAGUAAGAAAGUGUUACUGAAGUCAAAAUGACUCAUCUUUGAGUCGGGAAAUUGUUAAGGAUCCUGAAUUUUUAUUUUUGACAGGUCUCUCCUUUUCAUACUACCUGUAUAGAUUUCAUUAUCAUCAUCAUAUUUAUUUGUUUUAUUAUCAAAUGUUAUUUUUCACCAACUGCCAUAAUUCGAUUUAAUUUGUAAACAUAUAUUUUUGAAAUUGUCUUGAUUUCAGGCUGAUUUAGUCUAUGUUUUCUAAAGUUCAUUUAUAAUUAAUAAAUACCCAAUCAUUAUUCUUUCAA